rnacentral:rRNA from 1 species
AACGAACGCUGGCGGCGUGCCUAACACAUGCAAGUCGAACGGAAUUAGGGAGCUUGCUCCUUAAUUUAGUGGCGCACGGGUGAGUAACGCGUAGAUAAUCUGCCCGACGAUCCGGGAUAACAGUUCGAAAGGACUGCUAAUACCGGAUAAGCCCACGUGGUCUUUGGACCGUGCGGGAAAAGGGGGGGACCUUCGGGCCUUCUGUCGUCGGAUGAGUCUGCGUACCAUUAGCUAGUUGGUAGGGUAAAGGCCUACCAAGGCUACGAUGGUUGGCUGGUCUGAGAGGAUGAUCAGCCACACUGGAACUGAAACACGGUCCAGACUCCUACGGGAGGCAGCAGUGGGGAAUUUUGCGCAAGGGGCGAAAGCCUGACGCAGCAACGCCGCGUGAGUGAUGAAGGCUUUCGGGUCGUAAAGCUCUGUCAAGGGGAAAGAAGUGUAUUGUGGCUAAUAUCCACGAUACUUGACGGUACCCCUAAAGGAAGCACCGGCUAACUCCGUGCCAGCCGCCGCCGUAACAC